GAUGAACGCUGGCGGCGUGCCUAAUACAUGCAAGUCGAGCGAACGGACGAGAAGCUUGCUUCUCUGAUGUUAGCGGCGGACGGGUGAGUAACACGUGGAUAACCUACCUAUAAGACUGGGAUAACUUCGGGAAACCGGGGCUAAUACCGGAUAAUAUUUUGAACCGCAUGGUUCAAAAGUGAAAGACGGUCUUGCUGUCACUUAUAGAUGGAUCCGCGCUGCAUUAGCUAGUUGGUAAGGUAACGGCUUACCAAGGCAACGAUGCAUAGCCGACCUGAGAGGGUGAUCGGCCACACUGGAACUGAGACACGGUCCAGACUCCUACGGGAGGCAGCAGUAGGGAAUCUUCCGCAAUGGGCGAAAGCCUGACGGAGCAACGCCGCGUGAGUGAUGAAGGUCUUUGGAUCGUAAAACUCUGUUAUUAGGGAAGAACAUAUGUGUAAGUAACUGUGCACAUCUUGACGGUACCUAAUCAGAAAGCCACGGCUAACUACGUG
rnacentral:rRNA from 1 species